AUCCAGCCAACGGGUCCUGAAUAGGACGAAAGGCGCGUCCUGGAU
rnacentral:hammerhead_ribozyme from 1 species